CUUUGACCAGCUUCUUCCCCUACCCUGUUUCGCUGCCUGCCUCUCCUCCUGACAGCACUCUUUCAACAAAUACGUCACAGGAGAAUCCACUUCUCAAGCUCCACUUUAAGGGAGCCUCGCAUAUAACACAGGCACCUGGACUGAUAGGUUAGAUGCUGUCCUGAAUGAAAAGUGGAGUUGAGGAUGGCUCCUUUGGCUGCAAGACCUUCAAGGUUCACCGGGUCCUCCCCUUCUAUACAACUCUGUGCCCCAAACCUGGCCAAGGUGACAUUGAGGGCUUUGAAUGAGGCCCUUGGAAGUAACCAAACAGCCUAGAGCUUCAAAACAGUGGAAGGAUGCUCUCCCAGGACUGGAUGACAGCCUUACACCCUUGGACUCCACAGCCCAGGUCCUGCCAUUGCCCUUCCUCCUAGGGGCUAUGGCAUGGAGGCCCCUGGUCUUCCUGCUGCCCCACCCCGGGACUGCUCUGAUGUGUCUAUACCCUUGGAAGACCGUGGCGCCCAGAACUGCGUUCCUGCCCAGCGGGCUGAGAUGUCACGAAGGUGAGUCAGCUCACACCCAUGAUAACAUCUACACAGCCAGCCUGGGAGGCAGCUGCUCCUUGCACUGAAGGGAUGGGUUUGGGACACAGAGGAGCCUAUUCUGUCCCGGGGUGGGGAGUGGAGGAACAUCAAGAGAAAAUGGUCCCCUUUCUGAGAACAAACUUUUGAGAAAGGCGGAUCUCAGUCUGACUCUUACAGAAACUGGGCCUUCAGGAACCUGCCUGGACAGGUGGGGUAGGAAGGACUGGCCAGGAAGGGGCAUGGCUGUUGUGGAAACAGGCUUUGUGCUUUCUGAAGCUGAGAGGAUGAAGAAGGUUGAUGAUGCCAGUGUCAGUGUUCAGAGGGUUCUGAUCUUCCUGACUGCUGGGCAGGGCCCCUGGGCUGGAGCCAGGAUCCCUGGAUUCUAUCCCCAGCUCCGUUGAAAGACUUUUUUGGUGUUGGACCAAUCAUAUCUCCUCUCUGGGCCUCAAUGACCCAUCUGUGGGAUGACGGGCUGGGGGUCCCUCAGCCUCUCAGAGAGACAGCA